UUGCCAUCAGAUGUGCCCAGAUGGGAUUAGCUAGUAGGUGAGGUAAUGGCUCACCUAGGCGACGAUCCCUAGCUGGUCUGAGAGGAUGACCAGCCACACUGGAACUGAGACACGGUCCAGACUCCUACGGGAGGCAGCAGUGGGGAAUAUUGCACAAUGGGCGCAAGCCUGAUGCAGCCAUGCCGCGUGUGUGAAGAAGGCCUUCGGGUUGUAAAGCACUUUCAGCGGGGAGGAAGGCGGUGAGGUUAAUAACCUCAUCGAUUGACGUUACCCGCAGAAGAAGCACCGGCUAACUCCGUGCCAGCAGCCGCGGUAAUACGGAGGGUGCAAGGGUUAAUCGGAAUGACUGGGCGUAAAGCGCACGCAGGCGGUUUGUUAAGUCAGAUGUGAAAUCCCCGAGCUUAACUUGGGAACUGCAUUUGAAACUGGCAAGCUAGAGUCUUGUAGAGGGGGGUAGAAUUCCAGGUGUAGCGGUGAAAUGCGUAGAGAUCUGGAGGAAUACCGGUGGCGAANGCGGCCCCCUGGACAAAGACUGACGCUCAUGUGCAAAAGCGUGGGGAGCAAACAGGAGUC
rnacentral:rRNA from 1 species